rfam:Ceriporiopsis subvermispora B unplaced genomic scaffold CERSTscaffold_27, whole genome shotgun sequence.
GGCAACUUGGCCGAGCGGUCUAAGGCGCUGGAAUCAGGACGUUAGUUCAUCCAGUCCGAAAGGGCGUGAGUUCGAAUCUCACAGUUGUCA